rnacentral:lncRNA from 1 species
UGGUGGUGACUAGCAUAGAAGGCGGAGGAGGUCAUUGGAGCCGGCUUCCCUUCCGCUUUGGCUGCCAAGCUCCGCGCGUUGGUGAGUCCCUCUCUCUAUCCCUCUACAUCUCUCCCUCUCUCUGUCAGAGGGCAGCUACCAACCCCGAGGUGCAGGCGGCCAUGGAAAAGCAGAAGAUGCCACACCUAGCUUUCCCCCUUGCCUCCUGCCCUUUCUCUUCAGCUCAUUUAUUUACAUGUGCAAAUUCUCUUUUAUCUAUGCCUGCAAGGUGUUUGAUGAAAGUUCAGUAAGGCUUUGAGGGAAUACCAAACAAGAGAGGAUCCAGUAUCUGUAACAUGCAUCAGGUUGACACCAACUUCAUGCAUUUUGCUUCAAGAUCAUUGUUAAUUUAAUUCAAAAUGUUUUCUCAUUCUAUUGGAAGAUAGAAAGGAUGGUUGUAGAAAGAUAACUGUUCUACUUGGAUACCUUUCUUUGUUCUCGUUUGCAUUUAAGUAAAAAUGUUCAACUGCAGAUAUAGAUUGCCGGCGGGUGGAUAUAUUGCUCAAAAGAUGUCACUAGUGCUGUACUGCUGUAGAUGCCAUUGAUUUCAUAUAUCAAAGCAUUACAGCUCUUUCAGAUCCUUUGUAUUUCCACUUAGUUAGCUUGAAAAUCUUGUCUACUACGGACACCUCUUGAAAAUUGCAAAGGAGUUCUAACUCCCAACAAGCUUAUUUCCUUAAAAAAUGUAACUGGUACAAUGUUCUACGUACCUUAUGAGAGGUCAGCCCCGGCAUCACAGUCCAUUCCUGAAGAAGUUCACAUGCAUGGUGUUGAUUGUUGAGUUUGCUUGGUUAACGGAAUGACAUGCCUAUGCAGAUCAGCAGGGGGAAGGUCCAGGGUGAAACCUUCAGGAGGGAUUUGAUGUUGCUAUUGUUUCAGUUUGCAGAUAGAGGAUGUGAUUCCAGCAAGACAGAGACGAUGGCGAUGACAAGUGAGAUUUAUGUUAAGGAGUAUUAGCAUAUGCUCACAGGAUCACUGGAAGUUUAUAAAUGUAUCCGCAAUGAUUGUUGCUUUCUUAUUGACACAUAAUUGAAUUAUAAUUAUAGACAGUAAGAGUAGUUGUCUUUUCAUUUGUUAGAAAACAUAGUGUACCUUUAUAAUCGUAGUUAUAUGCAAUGAUCCAUCAUGUAUUUUUGUUUAAAACUGCAACCCGUAAUUGUUUGAUGUCAUUAAAUGUCUCUCUCUCUCUCUCUCUN